rnacentral:miRNA from 1 species
GUCGUGCAUAGGUCUGCCUUUGAAGACAGUAUAUAGAAGUUUCAGUUGGUACCGAAUAUAGCUAUAUUCUGUACCAACUGAACCAUCUAUAUACUGUCUUCAAAGGGAGACCCAUGCAUGAC